rnacentral:lncRNA from 1 species
UUUGUCUGUUGUGUGAAAAUUGGAACUCUGCCAAUAUUUAGAAGUUGUGUCAGUUUAGAGAAAUACACACGAGAGGUGUCUUCUGAGACUCGUAACUGAUAAAAUAACGCUUUAAAUUUUAAAUUUUUUGGCUAGAAGGGGUUAUUAUGUAAUAAGUUAUUGAUGUUUAAUAGCUUUUGCUGGUGAUUUUAUUAUAGGCUGUAUUUUGU